rnacentral:rRNA from 1 species
UACAGAGGUCUCGAGCGUUGUUCGGAUUCAUUGGGCGUAAAGGGUGCGUAGGUGGCGCUGUAAGUCGGGUGUGAAAUCCUGAGGCUUAACCUCGGAACUGCAUUCGAUACUGCGGCGCUUGAGGACUGGAGAGGAGACUGGAAUUCAUGGUGUAGCAGUGAAAUGCGUAGAGAUCAUGAGGAAGACCAGUGGCGAAGGCGGGUCUCUGGGCCGAUACUGACGCUGAGGAGCGAAAGCGUGGGGAGCGAACAGG